rnacentral:rRNA from 1 species
AGUGAACGCUGGCGGUAGGCCUAACACAUGCAAGUCGAACGGCAGCACAGUAAGAGCUUGCUCUUACGGGUGGCGAGUGGCGGGCGGGUGAGGAAUACAUCGGAGUCUACUUUUUCGUGGGGGAUAACGUAGGGAAACUUACGCUAAUACCGCAUACGACCUACGGGUGAAAGCAGGGGAUCUUCGGACCUUGCGCGAUUGAAUGAGCCGAUGUCGGAUUAGCUAGUUGGCGGGGUAAAGGCCCACCAAGGCGACGAUCCGUAGCUGGUCUGAGAGGAUGAUCAGCCACACUGGAACUGAGACGCGGUCCAGACUCCUACGGGAGGCAGCAGUGGGGAAUAUUGGACAAUGGGCGCAAGCCUGAUCCAGCCAUACCGCGUGGGUGAAGAAGGCCUUCGGGUUGUAAAGCCCUUUUGUUGGGAAAGAAAAGCAGCAGGUUAAUACCCCGCUGUUCUGACGGUACCCAAAGAAUAAGCAACGGCUAACUUCGUG